rnacentral:rRNA from 1 species
UACGUAGGGUGCAAGCGUUAAUCGGUAUUACUGGGCGUAAAGCGUGCGCAGGCGGCUUUGCAAGACAGAUGUGAAAUCCCCGGGCUCAACCUGGGAACUGCAGUUGUGACUGCAUGGCUGGAGUGCGGCAGAGGGGGAUGGAAUUCCGCGUGUAGCAGUGAAAUGCGUAGAUAUGCGGAGGAACACCGAUGGCGAAGGCAAUCCCCUGGGCCUGCACUGACGCUCAUGCACGAAAGCGUGGGGAGCAAACAGG